UACGAAGGGGGCUAGCGUUGUUCGGAUUUACUGGGCGUAAAGCGCACGUAGGCGGAUCGAUCAGUCAGGGGUGAAAUCCCAGAGCUCAACUCUGGAACUGCCUUUGAUACUGUCGAUCUGGAGUAUGGAAGAGGUGAGUGGAAUUCCGAGUGUAGAGGUGAAAUGCGUAGAUAUCAGGAGGAACACCGGUGGCGAAGGCGGAUCUCUGGACCAGUUCUGACACUGAUGAGCGAAAGCCAGGGGAGCAAACAGG
rnacentral:rRNA from 1 species